UACGAAGGGUGCAAACGUUGCUCGGAAUCACUGGGCGUAAAGCGCACGUAGGCGGAUUGUUAAGUCAGGGGUGAAAUCCUGGAGCUCAACUCCAGAACUGCCUUUGAUACUGGCGAUCUUGAGUCCGGGAGAGGUGAGUGGAACUGCGAGUGUAGAGGUGAAAUUCGUAGAUAUUCGCAAGAACACCAGUGGCGAAGGCGGCUCACUGGCCCGGUACUGACGCUGAGGUGCGAAAGCGUGGGGAGCAAACAGG
rnacentral:rRNA from 1 species